rnacentral:rRNA from 1 species
GGUUUGUUAAGUCUCUGGGGAAAUCUUCCGGCUUAACCGGAAGGCGUCUCAGGGAUACUGGCAGACUAGGGACCGGGAGAGGUGAGGGGUACUCCAGGGGUAGGAGUGAAAUCCUGUAAUCCUUGGGGGACCACCUGUGGCGAAGGCGCCUCACCAGAACGGCUCCGACAGUGAGGGACGAAAGCUGGGGGAGCAAACCGGAUUAGAUACCCGGGUAGUCCCAGCCGUAAACGAUGCGCGUUAGGUGUAUCGGUGACCACGAGUCACCGAGGUGCCGAAGAGAAAUCGUGAAACGUGCCGCCUGGGAAGUACGGUCGCAAGGCUGAAACUUAAAGGAAUUGGCGGGGGAGCACCACAACAGGUGGAGCCUGCGGUUUAAUCGGACUCAACGCCGGAAAACUCACCAGAUAAGACAGCUGAAUGAUAGUCGGGCUGAAGACUCUACUUGACUAGCUGAGAGGAGGUGCAUGGCCGUCGUCAGUU